rnacentral:pre_miRNA from 1 species
UUAGGUUUUCUUCAUUUUCUUCUGAAGUUUUUAUGGGAUUCUUGUUGUUGAAGAUUGAUGGAGAUGAUAUGAAGAUGAAAAAGAGGAGAAU